rnacentral:misc_RNA from 1 species
AACGCACAUUGCGCCCCUUGGUAUUCCAUUGGGCAUGCCUGUUCGAGCGUCAUUUAACCCUUCAAGCACUGCUUGGUGUUGGGCGUUUGUCUGCGAAAUCAAUGUAGACUCGCCCCAAAAACAUUGGCAGCGGCUUGCCAGCCUCUCGCGCAGCACUUUGCGCUCAUCGAGGCUCUGGUGAGCUUGCGUCCAUCAAGAUUACCCCCCAUUUGACCUCGAAUCAGGUAGGGAUACCCGCUGAACUUAA